UUCCACGGGAAACACCUUGUGUACAACAUACAUUUUGUGAUACAUUGUAACAUCGGUAGAAGCUAGGAACGGUGAUAAGACGAGCGUUGUGAGUUACACAAAGAUCAAAGAGAGACAAUUACUUUAUUAGCGAAGACUUAGAUAAGUCAGUUCCUUUAUUGCCUUUCCCGAUACGAAAACGCGCAAAGUCGUAAUAUUAAUUUUUAUUAAAUUCCUUUGAGGAAAUUAUUUUUCUCAUUGAGAAGAAAUCACAGUGUUGUGACAAUUCGUAUAUAAACGCCAAACGAUAUUAAAUUAAAUUUUUGAAACUUUCAAAAAGAAGUUGUGGUACUCGCACGAAUUAAGUAUCAUGUUUGUUUAAAAUAUACUAUUAUAUUGGUAUACUGCGAGUUUGUACUAAAUCGUAAAAGUGGAGGUGAGAAACGCCGAGAAAGAUUAUCGAGAUCGGUGUUUUCUUUAAGAUGAAUGGAUCGAUGUGCCACCACCGUCAGCUUUUCCUCGCAUUCGGGCGCACCUUUGCACUGCCUUUUGUUAUCUGUUUCCCGUAUUAUUUUUGUCACACUUCACCGUUCCUAGUUCAAGUUCGAGCGAACGAACAGUAAAGAUGGCGAUUGCACAAUCGAGAAGCACGCGCGAGAUAUGGGAGAUGAAACACACGCGUCCUUUCUCAAGUCGUCUUCAAAGCGCGACUUGACGAAAAAUUAUCGAUAUCCGAAAACGAAAUGCAGCGACAGCAAACUGAACUAUUCACGGCUUUUCAUUCCAUUUCCCUUUCUACAUUUGUCUCAUCAACAAAUAUUGAUAAUCGAUCUCGACUAUCACAUUCGUCGUCACGCUGAGGAAGAACAGGUCAGCGAUAUUUGAAGUAGAGUAAAAUUACUCAAAUGAAACGUCAAUACCUGACAUUGUCCAAAAUUUUUAUUCCCAUUCCAUUUAUUGAUAAAAUUAAGAAAAUCAAUACGACUGUUUGAGAGAGAUUUAGAAUGCAAAGGCAAAAAUUAUUAAAGUAGAUAUUUUUUUUUAUCGAUAUAUUGCAAUUUUGUUGAAAUUUUUGCUGAGAAAUUUCGAUGAGAUUUCCUUUGACUUGGGAAAGUCACCCGCAUUUUCGAGGAACGAAACAUCUUCGAAACGCAGCGACGAUGCUCGACGAUGCUCGACUUCGCAUUAUCGAGCUUUGUUCCUGCCGAGGAUAAAACGUGUUCGACGACUCGGCACCGCCGUGAUUCGUUUGUUGUCGUCGCAGAUUCAUGCGGUGUUCGCAUUGUCAGCGAUACUCUCUCUCUCUCUCUCUCCGGAGGAGGAGAAGGCGUUCCUGGCUUAACUGGCAGCGUGAGCCGGAGCUCGCGGGGACGCUUCGGGGAUUUGUCCCAGAACUGAUCGAUCGUUCCUGCGCGAAAUGCGACAGAGACGGUCGCGGACCUUCCUCGCCGCCGCGUGCUCUAGUCCUCUAGUCGUCUAGGCUGGCGCGAGAGUUUCCGCUCUCGGUCGGGACCGUUAAUCCGCACGAUGACGACGUAUCUCGCGAUACGUACACACGCUCCGAUGAAUCAGAUAUAUCGAUCGUCCGAACUCUAAUAAUCACCGUCGUCGCAAUGCAGAUCACCGCACGGACGCGGCGCCCGCAUUGUACAUGUAAAUAAUCGCAAUUUGUAUAGCAGAUAAUAAUAAUAUAAUAAUAAUAAUAAUAAUAAUAAUAACAACAGCGACGAGAAACGGAGGAAGAAAGAGUAACUCAGAUAUUAAUCAUUAAUGCCGAUGGUAGGGAUUUUCUUCUCUUCGGGUGUAUUUAGCGUUAAAAAAAAAUAGAAAAAAAAAAGAAGAAGAAGAAACUGUUAGAUAGGAAAUACGGCGGCAUCGUUCACAUGGCACGCCAUUUUUUUUUUUUUUUUUUUUUUUCUCUAUUAUUACUUGUCGCCUUGCAGAAGGAGGAAAGAAGAGGCAGUUGUUCGCUGGUGACAAACCAGACGCGAACGUAAAGCGAGGUGUAACAAUAAUUAGCGCUGAUUAUACGAAAUGAUAGUAGAAUCGCGAAGAUAAUAGAGGAUAAUAAAAUUCGCGUCGCGUUUUAUACAAACGGCAGCACGUUCGUUCCGAUCGUUCGUGAGGAUCGAUUCACGGCAUAAGCUGGCUUGGCAGUACAGUGCUCGCUACGAGGAAAGGGGGAGAGAAACAAAUGGAAUGGAGGCAAAUUAGGGAUACGCAUCGUUGAAACUGCACGGAAGGAGGCCGGAACUCUGAAGAAAGUCGACGUUAACGGCGUCGGUUAACGAAGGCCAUUACAAAGGUGCGUCCCCAUGCCGGCAACGAGCAAGACCCAAUUUCUUUCAGGUGCUCCACAAUACGAUAGAUCGAUAAGUAAACACAAAUUAUAAUGUAUAGGGUAAUAAUAAUGGACAGAGGUAUCGAGAGCAUACGAAUAAGGUGUUGAAUAUGAGAGACUGAGCGGGAGAUAAAGAGAGAGAAAUGAGCAUAGAAAGAUUUAGGAAAGAGUCGGGAGA